rnacentral:rRNA from 1 species
UCAGCGGAAAGAGCUUGCUACUUUGCCGGCGAGCGGCGGACGGGUGAGUAAUGUCUGGGGAUCUGCCUGAUGGAGGGGGAUAACUACUGGAAACGGUAGCUAAUACCGCAUAACCUCGCAAGAGCAAAGUGGGGGACCUUCGGGCCUCACGCCAUCGGAUGAACCCAGAUGGGAUUAGCUAGUAGGUGGGGUAAUGGCUCACCUAGGCGACGAUCCCUAGCUGGUCUGAGAGGAUGACCAGCCACACUGGAACUGAGACACGGUCCAGACUCCUACGGGAGGCAGCAGUGGGGAAUAUUGCACAAUGGGCGCAAGCCUGAUGCAGCCAUGCCGCGUGUGUGAAGAAGGCCUUCGGGUGUAAAGCACAGAUGCAAAACCCAU